rnacentral:lncRNA from 1 species
GUGAGUUCUUGCUCUAUGUUCGUUCACUCAGGAGCUGGUUAUUUAAAGAGUGUGGCACUUCCCUCUCUCUCUUGCUCCUUCUCUGCCAUCUGACAUUCCUGCUCCCCAUUCACCUUCUGCCUUGAUUGGAAGCUUCCUGAAGCCCUCACCAGAAGCAGAUGCUGGCACCAUGCUUUUUGUACAGUCUGCAGAACCGAACCUGGCUUUAUUGUACCACUGGCCAUUGUGUUUAAACUGGGGACAAAGGACUUCAGUUGCUCACACCGGGAGAG